AAGCUCAGCCCAUUGCCCUGUGAUCCCCUGCAGCACCUCAGGACUGCAGUGUCCUCACGGAUGAGAAGACUCACAUAAGAAUCAAUCUCUCACCCCUGGACUUCCCAGCCUCCAGAACUCUGGUGUAGGUUGAAUUCAGCAAAGAAUUUUUCUAUUCUGUCUUUGGGGACCCUCCAGCAUCUUCUCAUUCACAUCUGAAAGGACGUCUCCCAGUCCACAGUGCCUGUGAUUGCCACAUUCUGUUUUUUGACUGUGGAGGUGGAACUUUUGGAUACAAAAUGCUGAUUAUAUGCUGAGAAAGGAUAAAGAAGGAAAUGUCUUAAAUAGAAGAAAACAUAAGAAGAUAGAAACUGCAGAGGACAGAGGACCACUGUAUGCCCUGAAGACAUCACUAAAGUGGCACAUGAAGCACACUUUUGAACACUCAGGAAGAAAUUCCUGACAAUCAAUGGACACAGAAAAACAUUAUUAAGUAAAACUUGUGGUGACUCUUUUGCUAGGCAGUGGGGCAUAGUGGUUAAAAAUUUGGGACUUGGGAGCCAUUUCCAAAAAGAAAAAAAAAUAAUGAACAAAAAAGUUCGUGGAGCUGCUUCCUGCGGAAAUCAUGAAAAAUGCCAUUGAAAGUCAAAGCCCUGCACUAAUAACUAAUUAUUUGUCCUUGAACAAGUUAUUUGUGAAUACAGAACCCAUAGAUACGAAAGGCCAACUGUACUUAUUGAAAACAAUCCAGGUAUAACUAGACCCGCACAGUUCAAACCCAUGUUGUUCAAGGGUCAACUGUAUAAUUCACUUAAUCCCUAGAGCAACUGUAAGAGCUAGAUACGAUUGUUAUCCUUGUUUUGUAGGAGAGGAAAGUGAGGCACAGAAGUGUGGUUCAAGGACCAGAAGCAUCUGCAUCACUUGGGAGUUUGUGAGAAAUGCAUAAUCUUAAGGCC
ensembl:lncRNA novel transcript